rfam:Cucumber necrosis virus, complete genome.
AAAUUCUCCAGGAUUUCUCAACCUUGGUUGUGCUAUCUGGUGACUUGCGCGUGUUGUCUGCGUAGAGAAUUUCUCUCCUUAACCAAAAGGGGUUUGAAGACUGGGUCUACCGCUUGCGGGAUAAAUUGUAACUUCCAGUAAACGACGACAUG